rnacentral:rRNA from 1 species
GACGUAGGGCGCGAGCGUUGUCCGGAUUUAUUGGGCGUAAAGAGCUCGUAGGCGGCUUGUCGCGUCGACUGUGAAAUCCCGCGGCUCAACUGCGGGUCUGCAGUCGAUACGGGCAGGCUAGAGUUCGGUAGGGGAGUGUGGAAUUCCCGGUGUAGCGGUGAAAUGCGCAGAGAUCGGGAGGAACACCCGUAGCGAAGGCGGCACUCUGGGCCGGUACUGACGCUGAGGAGCGAAAGCGUGGGGAGCGAACAGG